CCUACGGGGGGCUGCAGUGGGGAAUAUUGGACAAUGGGCGCAAGCCUGAUCCAGCAAUGCCGCGUGUGUGAAGAAGGCCUGCGGGUUGUAAAGCACUUUAAGCAGGAAAGAAGGGGUGCAAGUUAAUACCUUUCAUCAUUGACGUUACCUGCAGAAUAAGCACCGGCUAACUCCGUGCCAGCAGCCGCGGUAAUACGGAGGGUGCGAGCGUUAAUCGGAAUUACUGGGCGUGAUGCGCGCGGAGGGUCGUGAAAGGCCUGGGCUGAACCUGGGAACUGCGGUGUGUACUGUCGGGCUAGAGUGUGGUAGAGGGGAGUGGAAUGUCCGGUGUAGCAGUGAAAUGCGUAGAGAUCGGAAGGAACACCAGUGGCGAAGGCGGCUCCCUGGACUAACACUGACGCUGAGGUGCGAAAGCGUGGGGAGCAAACAGGAUUAGAUACCCGAGUAGUC
rnacentral:rRNA from 1 species